rnacentral:tRNA from 1 species
GUGGGUAUAACUCAGGGUAGAGUGCAUGCUUAACAUGCAUGAGGUCCUGGGUUCAAUCCCCAGUACCUCCA